rnacentral:rRNA from 1 species
CCCUUAGAUGUUCUGGGCCGCACGCGCGCUACACUGACGAUGGCAACGAGUUUUUCCUUCGCCGAAAGGUGUGGGUAAUCUUUUGAAACAUCGUCGUGCUGGGGAUAGAUCAUUGCAAUUUUUGAUCUUGAACGAGGAAUUCCUAGUAAGCGCGAGUCAUCAGCUCGCGUUGAUUACGUCCCUGCCCUUUGUACACACCGCCCGUCGCUACUACCGAUUGAAUGGUUUAGUGAGGACUCCUGAUUGGCGCCGCCGCCCUGGCAACGGAGCAGCGGACUGCCGAAAAGUUGUUCAAACUUGAUCAUUUAGAGGAAGUAAAAGUCGUAACA